rnacentral:rRNA from 1 species
UACGUAGGGGUGCGAGCGUUUUUUUUUUGUCCGGAAUAUUUGGGGCGUAAAGAGCUUUGUAGGCGGUUUUGUCGCGUCUGCCCGUGAAAAAUUCGAGGGCUCAACCCUCGAACUUGCGGUGGGGUACGGGGCAGACUAGAGUGUGGUAGGGGAGACUGGAAUUCCUGGUGUAGCGGUGAAAUGCGCAGAUAUCAGGAGGAACACCAAUGGCGAAGGCAGAUCUCUGGGGCCGUAACUGACGCUGAGGGAGCGAAAGCAUGGGGGAGCGAACAGG